rnacentral:lncRNA from 1 species
CUUCAAGAUAUGUGGGCCUAGCAAGAGAAGUGUUCAAAUAAGCCUGGAUUAGUAUGUAUUAACUCACUUCAUAUAGAAAAGGUGGUAAAACGCUCUAAUGAAGUCAUAUUGACAAAGAUCAUGCAAUCCUAUGUGUAAAUUUCACUGUCGUGCAUGUAGAAAUGUAUGUAUUGUGUGAAAGUAAUUGUGGGUAUGUUGUGUGUUGAUGUGAAUACUUUGAUAAAUAUUUCCACUCUUGAAACAUGAAGGCACUUAAAUAUACAGUUACUACUGACUGAGUCAAAUAUGUGCUUCUCUUAGUAACAGUAUGAAAAAUUAGAAACUAAUGUAUAAAAUCUGAGAAUGUGGGGGAAGUCAAAGCAGAGUAAUUCUUCUUGAAAGGAAAUGUUGAGGAGGGGAGAUAUGGAUAGAUAUGGAAUGUGCAAAGUGAUGAUAAGAAAACAUACAAUAUACACCUUAAGCUGUUGUUGUAUCAAAAGAACUUUGCUUUCUUAGGCUCUGGAAGAAAAACUACUGGAUAAAAUAAAUUGGUCUGUGGCCUCUUGAACUUGCUAGAAACAACCUUGCUGUCAAGCGCAACGCUAACUUCAGAGAUCUUAGCUGAAAGGUAUUGUCACCCUCCCUCCUCUUCUUCUUUUUCUUCUUCUUUUUUUUUUUUUUUUUCUUCUCCCUGUUCUCUUGGGAAACUAUUUUGUCUAUACUGAUUUGUACCCAUAAGGAGAAAAUGGAUGCAGAUCCAAAAUGUUGCCAGGGAUCGGGAUAGCUCUGACAGUUCUGACGAGGCUAGCAGCCUCGAGAAAAGUCAACCAAGGCUCUUGGCAGCCAACCUGGUUUGGGGCAGGCAAAAUUCUGGUCCAUUUCUGGACUGGUGUCUGGAAGCGUUCAUCCCAUGAUGGCAUAAGUCAUAUCUAACGGAUCAGUUCUGGGCAUAUAUACCCAUUUGCCAUUUUGCAUGCUUCUGUCUCUGCGCAGGUCUGCGCCUAAUGAAUGCCGAGGGAAAUGUUCUUAAUGCUGCUUUUGAGGUAUCACUUCUUUAGAGAAGACAACCAAUUUUACUGUUUACUUUGUUACCAUGUCUCAGAAGUUCCUUCACCUCCUGACUGUGACCCUUACUGUGACCUGCAAAUUGAGGAAGCAGACUUUAGCAACAAAGAUGGAAACACCUCAGAGGAAUAUGUCUGAAGCCUAAUGAGCAGGAAUAUCUUUCAAAUUCACUAAGACAAGCAGGAUCCUUUCUUCUGAAAAAUGGAUGAACAAAACCUUUUUUUCUUCAUCUCUCCCCUUUUAUAUAGCAAUAAUUCUACUGUGUCUGAUUAAGAAGUUUUUUGUUUCUUUCUAGUUCACCAAGUGUCUACUUUCUGUUUUUAAGAGGUUAACAUGACAGCGGUAAAAUCAAUUGUCUCUUUGUAUGUGUCUUUUUCUGACCGAAUAAAAUAUGUUAGGAAUGGUCUCA